CUUACAGUGCGUCUACUGUAAGUGGGGCCACUUAGAGAGCACUAACCAAUCACAUUGCAGAACAGAAAGUGAAAAAAUCAACAAACGGCGCAUUAGCCAAUCAGCAUUAGGGCAAAAACAAUUCGAACAAAUAAACGAAUGUCAAACGGUAAAAAUAGACAUGUAAAAGUAAACAUUGCAGUUAAUGGCUUCCUGAAUCUUUCUUUUGAUUGGACGAGCUUUAGUUUGAUUAGAUUUUUCUUUCUGUUCUGCAAUGCGAUUGGUUAGUGUUCUCUAAGUGGCCCCACUUACAGUAGACGCACUGUAAG